UUGCUCAUCUCUCUACUUUUCAUACUCUCCUUAAGAAAAUGUCUUGCUGCGGAGGAAACUGUGGAUGCGGCUCUGACUGCAAGUGCGGUAGCGGCUGCGGGGGGUAUGAAUUUCCUUCCCUUCUCGUGGUUUCCCUUUUGCCUUUAUACAACCAUGUUUAGGCUCUCUUUCGAUCUC